AGAGCGAACGCUGGCGGCAGGCCUAACACAUGCAAGUCGAGCGCCCGUAGCAAUACGGGAGCGGCAGACGGGAUAGUAACACGUGGGAACGCGCCCUUCGGUUCGGAAUAACUCAGGGAAACUUGAGCUAAUACCGAAUACGCCCUUACGGGGAAAGAUUUAUUGCCGAAGGAACGGCCCGCGUCCGAUUAGCUAGUUGGUGAGGUAAUGGCUCACCAAGGCUACGAUCGGUAGCUGGUCUGAGAGGAUGACCAGCAUCACUGGGACUGAGACACGGCCCAGACUCCUACGGGAGGCAGCAGUGGGGAAUAUUGGACAAUGGGCGCAAGCCUGAUCCAGCCAUGCCGCGUGGAUGAUGAAGGCCUUAGGGUUGUAAAGUUCCUUUAACGGGGAAGAUAAUGACGGUACCCGUAGAAUAACGCCCCGGCUAACUUCGUGCCAGCAGCCGC
rnacentral:rRNA from 1 species